CUACGGACUACAGACGGGGCUGCUGCGGAUGAGCGCCGCGGGCUUUGCAACCAUUGCCUACCCUCUGCGUCAGCCUGAACAGGGGAGGCGGGGCUGUACUUGGGGGCUCGCCCGCCGCUUGGUCAUCUUGGACCGUCCCGCACAGAAGACGCACCUAGUGCUCUGCUGCCCUUCUAUGGAUAAACAUGAGUAUUGACUGGUUUCCAGAGCAAACUACAAAAGCCCAUUAACAACUCUUCCAGAACCUUGCUGCAGUGUUCUCUGGAACAGUUUUCUCUAGGACAGCGUUUGUUGGAGUGUGGACUGGGGGCAAGAAAAGCGUGAGAUCACGUUAGAUAUGCAAAUUCCCAGGCCCACCUUCGACUUAGAAUCUCUGUAGGCCAUAGUUUGUGGAUCCAUAAACUAAAGGAUGCAUCACCCUGACAGGAACAGUGCAAAAAGCCACAUGCAACUCCAGCUGAGGGGAGGAUCGCUGCACCCUGAUCCCAAGCCCCACCAUCCCCCAGUCCCAACCUGCAGGAGCCAGGUGCAGGAGAAGGAGGCUGGCCCCUGCGCCCAGGCUGGGGAAAGGAGAGUAGCUCUGAGGAAGACUGAAGUUUUAAAGACUUGGUUACACUUUUUAAUACUUGAAAACAAACAGAAGAGGCAUCUUCCUUGCCCAAAGCCAGAAUCUUCACUGGUGCUCGCCACCUGCCCAACCCCCACCCCUGCCAUCCCCCAGGGACUUUUUGCCCCAUUUACUUAUUGUUCUAAAUAAACUUUCUAUUUUAGAA